rnacentral:rRNA from 1 species
UACGGAGGGUGCAAGCAUUGAUCGGAAUUACUGGGCGUAAAGGGCGCGUAGGCGGCUAGAAAAGUCAGACGUGAAAUUCCGGGGCUCAACCCCGGAGCUGCAUUUGAAACUUUCAAGCUAGAGGGAACUUAGGGAAAACGGAAUUCCACGUGUAGCGGUGAAAUGCGUAGAUAUGUGGAAGAACACCGGUGGUGAAGACGGUUUUCUAGGGUUUACCUGACGCUGAGGCGCGAAAGCUAGGGGAGCAAACAGG